GAUGAAGAACGCAGCGAAAUGCGAUAAGUAAUGUGAAUUGCAGAAUACAGUGAAUCAUCGAAUCUUUGAACGCACAUUGCGCCCGCUAGUAUUCUGGCGGGCAUGCCUGUCCGAGCGUCAUUUCAACCCUCAAGCCCCCGGGCUUGGUGUUGGGGAUCGGCGAGCCUCCGCGCCCGCCGUCCCCUAAAUCUAGUGGCGGUCUCGCUGUAGCUUCCUCUGCGUAGUAGCACACCUCGCACUGGGAAACAGCGCGGCCACGCCGUUAAACCCCCAACUUCUGAACGUUUGACCUCGGAUCAGGUAGGAAUACCCGCUGAACUUAAGCAUAUCAAUAAGCGGAGGA
rnacentral:misc_RNA from 1 species